AACGAACGCUGGCGGCAUGCCUAACACAUGCAAGUCGAACGAGACCUUCGGGUCUAGUGGCGCACGGGUGCGUAACGCGUGGGAACCUGCCCUUAGGUUCGGAAUAACUCCCCGAAAGGGGUGCUAAUACCGGAUAAUGUCUUCGGACCAAAGAUUUAUCGCCCUUGGAUGGGCCCGCGUUGGAUUAGCUAGUUGGUAGGGUAAAAGCCUACCAAGGCGACGAUCCAUAGCUGGUCUGAGAGGAUGAUCAGCCACACUGGGACUGAGACACGGCCCAGACUCCUACGGGAGGCAGCAGUGGGGAAUAUUGGACAAUGGGCGAAAGCCUGAUCCAGCAAUGCUGCGUGAGUGAUGAAGGCCUUAGGGUUGUAAAGCUCUUUUACCCGGGAUGAUAAUGACAGUACCGGGAGAAUAAGCUCCGGCUAACUCCGUG
rnacentral:rRNA from 1 species